GCUUCUGCUUGCAUUGUAGCUUUCUGGAUGUUGGAUAAUAACAUUUUUAUUUUAUUAUUUUGUUUUAUUUUGUUCUACUUUGUUUUAUUUUUUGUUUUGUUUUGUUUUAUUAUUUGUUUUAUUUUAUUUAUUAUUUUAUUACUUUACUCUACUCUACUUUACUUUACUAUUUAUUUUAUUUUAUUUUAUUCUGAUGAACUGUUGGAAAGUACCAGAGGACAUUAGUUGAAAAAUGUCUCCUCCCAUUGAUUCAUUCAGUGCGCCAGAUCGCUGCUUUGAAAGGAAAGGGCUGUUUCUCGAAAAUGGCGUGAGCCGAGCGGCAGCCAGUCAGAGGCAGCCUUUCGGUCUCUAUUGUUGGGCAAGGGUUAGCAGCCUGCAAAAGUUUCUGGGAAAGAAAGAGCGGUCCCAAGAGGUAGCCAGGAGGAUUUAAAGAGGAGUAGCCGGUUGUGAAAGGAAGCGGUAAAGAUACAAAAAGCAAGGGGAGGAUUGUGCCUCAAGGGAUGGACGGAGCUUUUAUACAGCACCAAGAAAUGCCCUGCCUGUAAAAAAGCAGCCCUGAACUCCCGUCCUGACGUGCCAAGUUUAUUUGCUCAUUUCUUUGUUUCAGUAUGAAGGGAAGCUUUUCAUUCUGAAGCCUUCUCCCCUCCACCCUCCGUGGGCCUGAAUGACAUAAUGGGCCUCAGGCCUGGGCGGCCUCAGGCUGUGGGUGCAGAUUUGCCCGAGAUCCUAGGCAAUCCUAGGUGAAAGCAGCUACUCAAGUGAAGGAUUCGAGUAUCAUUCAACCUGGGAAUGGAACGGAACAGACUGAGCUCAUCAUGAGAUGCUGUCUGUAGGGUCCAGUGGAGAAAAGCAGAAUCGGGGCACCUCAGCUGCCACCCUGAACCAUAAACUUACCACUCCUGUUUUAGAUUGUUUUGUUGUAUGAACUCUGUGCUUUAUUUGAGGUUGAGUCUGUUCUGAAAACUCAAAAGUAAAUUGAAUAAACUGUAUUUAAUUAAUCACAA